rnacentral:rRNA from 1 species
UACGUAGGGUGCGAGCGUUGUCCGGAUUUAUUGGGCGUAAAGAGCUCGUAGGCGGCUUGUCGCGUCGAAUGUGAAAACUCGGGGCUCAACUCCGAGCUUGCAUUCGAUACGGGCAGACUAGAGUGCGGUAGGGGAGACUGGAAUUCCUGGUGUAGCGGUGAAAUGCGCAGAUAUCAGGAGGAACACCGGUGGCGAAGGCGGGUCUCUGGGCCGUAACUGACGCUGAGGAGCGAAAGCGUGGGGAGCGAACAGG